CCCACUCCAGUUUUCUUCCGGGUGGUACACACAGAGCCUGAGAAGAAUAUGACAAGGAUGAGGGUCAAGUACUCCACAGAAAAGACAGAUCCCUCAAUGCUAUGAAGAAAGUGAAGCCUUGCCAUCACCCCUAAGCUUGUAAAAAAAAUAAAACAUUGUUGCAUAUGA